UACGGGGGGGGGCAAGCGUUGUUCGGAAUUACUGGGCGUAAAGGGCUCGUAGGCGGCCAACUAAGUCAGACGUGAAAUCCCUCGGCUUAACCGGGGAACUGCGUCUGAUACUGGUUGGCUUGAAUCCGGGAGAGGGAUGUGGAAUUCCAGGUGUAGCGGUGAAAUGCGCAGAUAUCAGGAGGAACACCGAUGGCGAAGGCAGGUCUCUGGGCCAUAACUGACGCUGAGAAGCGAAAGCAUGGGGAGCGAACAGG
rnacentral:rRNA from 1 species